ACGAACGCUGGCGGCGUGCCUAAUCCAUGCAAGUCGAACGCUUCUUUCCUCCCGAGUGCUUGCACUCAAUUGGAAAGAGGAGUGGCGGACGGGUGAGUAACACGUGGGUAACCUACCCAUCAGAGGGGGAUAACACUUGGAAACAGGUGCUAAUACCGCAUAACAGUUUAUGCCGCAUGGCAUAAGAGUGAAAGGCGCUUUCGGGUGUCGCUGAUGGAUGGACCCGCGGUGCAUUAGCUAGUUGGUGAGGUAACGGCUCACCAAGGCCACGAUGCAUAGCCGACCUGAGAGGGUGAUCGGCCACACUGGGACUGAGACACGGCCCAGACUCCUACGGGAGGCAGCAGUAGGGAAUCUUCGGCAAUGGACGAAAGUCUGACCGAGCAACGCCGCGUGAGUGAAGAAGGUUUUCGGAUCGUAAAACUCUGUUGUUAGAGAAGAACAAGGACGUUAGUAACUGAACGUCCCCUGACGGUAUCUAACCAGAAAGCCACGGCUAACUACGUG
rnacentral:rRNA from 1 species